GCGCCCGUAGCUCAAUGGAUUAGAGCACUUGACUUCGGAUCAAGGGGUUGUGGGUUCGAAUCCUACCGGGCGUGCCA
rnacentral:tRNA from 1 species